GUGGAUGUAGCUCAAUGGCAGAGCAUCAGGCUGUGGACCUGGGGGUUGGGGGUUCGAACCCCCUCAUCCACCCCA
rnacentral:tRNA from 1 species